CACAAGCUUGGUCCUGGCUUUACUGUCAGCUUUGGUUAAAUUUAUACAUGCAAGUCUCCGCACCCCUGUGAGAAUGCCCUACCUAUGCCCCGCAUUUGGUAAAAAGGAGCCGGUAUCAGGCACAACCCUAGUUAGCCCAAGACACCUUGCUUAGCCACACCCCCAUGGGAAUCCAGCAGUAAUAAACAUUAAGCAAUAAGUGCAAACUUGACUUAGUUAAUACCAUCAAGGGCCGGUUAAACUCGUGCCAGCCACCGCGGUUAUACGAGAGGCCCAUGUUGACAAACAUCGGCGUAAAGAGUGGUUAGUAAAACCUUUAACUAAGGCCAAACAUCUUCAAGGCUGUUAUACGCACCCGAAGACAGGAAGAUCUCCUACGAAAGUGGCCUUAAAUAAUAUGAACCCACGAAAGCUAGGGAACAAACUGGGAUUAGAUACCCCACUAUGCCUAGCCCCAAACAUAAAUUAACUCUUACACUUCAAAUUCGCCAGGGAACAACGAGCCUCAGCUUAAAACCCAAAGGACUUGGCGGUGCUUUAGACCCCCCUAGAGGAGCCUGUUCUAUGAACCGAUACUCCCCGUUCAACCUCACCCUCUCUUGUUUUCCCCGCCUAUAUACCGCCGUCGUCAGCUUACCCUAUGAAGGUAAAACCGUAAGCAAAAUUGGUACAACCCAAAACGUCAGGUCGAGGUGUAGCGUACGAGAGGGGAAGAAAUGGGCUACAUUUACUGUUACAGUAAACACGAACCUUGUAUUGAAACAAACAUGUGAAGGAGGAUUUAGCAGUAAGGGGAGAAUAGAGCGCCCCCCUGAAAAUGGCCCUGAAGCGCGCACACACCGCCCGUCACUCUCCCCGAUAAUAUAUCACAAAUAGCUAAUACCCCAAUAAACUAAAAGGGGAGGCAAGUCGUAACAUGGUAAGUGUACCGGAAGGUGCACUUGGAAAAACCC
rnacentral:ncRNA from 1 species